CACGUAGGGUGCGAGCGUUGUCCGGAAUUAUUGGGCGUAAAGAGCUCGUAGGCGGUGUGUCGCGUCGGCCGUGAAAAACCUGCAGCUUAACUGUGGGCGUGCGGUCGAUACGGGCAUCACUGGAGUUCGGCAGGGGGAGACUGGAAUUCCUGGUGUAGCGGUGAAAUGCGCAGAUAUCAGGAGGAACACCGGUGGCGAAGGCGGGUCUCUGGGGCCGAUACUGACGCUGAGGAGCGAAAAGCGUGGGGGAGCAAACAGG
rnacentral:rRNA from 1 species